GCUGGACAUCAGGGUGAAUUACUUAACGCUGAGGACAGAGUGAAGGAGACACAAUAAACAUGGCUCUCCAACAGUUUGUGUGUGUCUUAACCGUGACAAUCCUUCUCCUGUGCACAGGAUGUCAAUCAGCGUUUACGUGCGGCCUGGCUCCCGCCAACACCAGGAUCGUGGGCGGUCAAACCGCGUCUCAGGAGAUUGGCCCUGGCAGGUUUUCUUUGGUCUCGAACAGAAAUCACAGGUGUGAGGGCACUGAU